AAAAAAAAAAAAAUUCCACGAAAUUUCUAGGAACUAGUGUGUACAAAUAAAAAGAAAAGUAUUUCUACUACUCGGUCGUUGAGGGGUUCGUUGACCCGAUUGCAGUUCCAAGUAAACAAAUCAAUUAUCUUCACACUGGAAGAAAACAAACAUCUUUAUCAUCUCUUUUGUUGGGUAAGUCCCGUAGCCCAUAGGCUGUUGCCUGAGAGUUUGAAGUUUCAACAAUACACACUAUAAUGAAACCAGAAAUAUUCAGGCACGUUGGUAGUUGUAUUCGCUAUAUUUGAAUUAUGGACAUUGAAAAUGACACCCACUCGAAAAAAAAUCCUCAUCUCUGAUAAUAUGUGUUCCACACUCUGGAGCUGAUGAGAAACAAUCAAUGGCAGGGAAAAUUUGGAGCUUGCUGGAAAACUAACAAGCUUUCAAAACCUAAU
rnacentral:misc_RNA from 1 species